CCCUUGAGGCGUGGCUUCGGGAGUUAAGGCGUAAAUUGGCCCCCCUGGGGAGUACGGCCGCAAGGUUAAAAUUAAAAGAAAUUGAGGGGGGCCCGCCCAAGCGGUGGGGCAUGUGGUUUAUUUGGAGGCAACGGGAAGACCCUUACCUACUCUUGACAUCCGGGGAAUUUCCCAGGGAUGAUUUGGUCCCUUGGGGAAUUUUGAGACAGGGGUGGCAUGGCGGUGGUCAGUUGGUUUUGUGAAAUGUUGGGUUAAUUCCCGCAAGGGGGGCAACCCUUACCCUUUGUUGCCAGCGGUUAGGCCGGGAACUCAAAGGAGACUGCCAGUGAUAAACUGGAGGAAGGUGGGGAUGACGUCAAGUCAUCAUGGCCCUUACGACUAGGGCUACACACGUGCUACAAUGGUGCAUACAAAGGGAAGCGACGUCGCGAGAGCAAGCGGACCUCAUAAAGUGCGUCGUAGUCCGGAUUGGAGUCUGCAACUCGACUCCAUGAAGUCGGAAUCGCUAGUAAUCGUGGAUCAGAAUGCCACGGUGAAUACGUUCCCGGGCCUUGUACACACCGCCCGUCACACCAUGGGAGUGGGUUGCACACAGAAGUAGCUAGUCUUAACCUUCGGGAGGGCGGUUACCCA
rnacentral:rRNA from 1 species